GGGGGAGGAGCCUCUAAGGGGCCUCGGAAGAGCCAGGUGACGUCACCCGCCGCUUAGGUUCACCUGCAAUGGACGGGCCUGGUGACGUCACCCGCCGGUUUGGUUCAUCGGCAACGCGCUGGUCGUCAGCCCCUUCGGUGUUGGAGGUCGCCGGUUCGAAUCGCCCCGAGGCAGCCCUUGCAAAAGUCCUGGGGUUUAGGUCAAAAUUGGCAGACUAAGCUUUGGGCUCAAGAGUGCCUCCAGUCAGUGGUUUGAGCGUUGACCUAUGACUCUGGAUCUUGCCUUGGCCAUGGAGACCCUUGGGGCAGGUCACACUCUCUCAGCCUCGGAGGCUGGCAAUGGCAAUGCCCGUCUGAAGAAAGUGGCCAAGAAAACCCCAGGACAAGGGCCCUUCUUAGGGUCAAAUAAGUCGGAAAUGACUUGACACUUCCCAUCAUCCUCACAAGGCACAGCAUGUGGGGGGGGGGGGUCUUGGAGGACACUUCCCAUCAUCCCCAGACCAUGCAGCGGUUGGGGGAGGUCUCCCUGCAGCCUGUCUGCGCCCUUGGCCCCCUCAAGCCCCUUUCUGGGAAUUCCCAGAAUCCUCGAGCCCUCCUCCAGGGCCAUGGGCAUCUGGGUUGGUUGGGGGUGAUGGGAGUUGUAGUCCCAAACUCAGUCCCUGCACUCGCUGAGGGCGCCACCCCUUUCCUUGUUGUCCUGGAGCGCCCUCUGGCGGCAGCAGAAAGGGCGGCGUCUCCCCUCCAGGCUCCCCUUCCACACUCUCUCUCUCUGGCGCCCUCCUGUGGCUUCAUCGCCAAAGAGCAGCCGGCUAAUAUUUUAUCCGGAUAAGAUCUUAUCCCUCCCCAAUUCCCUCCCGGACUUGAGAGCUUGUAAAGGGGACUUUGGGGAGGGGUGGCGACUCCCAGGAUCCUCAACGGUUGGAGGAUUCUGGGAGCGAUAGUGCCACGGUGUGGCUUUGACACAUUCUCAUACACCCCAAUUUGGCAGAAACAAUUUUCCAUGAAUCCUUUGCCGUCCCACUUUCUCCGCUGCUUUGAAAAUGUGCCGGUUUCUCUCUUUUCCUUCCGCUUUCCCCCUUUGGCCCUCAGCUGGCUUCAAACUGAUGCAAAAGGGGUUGGCAUGCAAUGCCCUCAGCAAGGAGAGAGGAGAGGAAGAGGCAGAAUCGUGCCCUUCCCAGUCAGCUCAGGCAAAAGCAAACUGGUGCAGCAUCGCCUCACUUCUCUGUUCUUUCGCCGUCUUGAUGCCUCUCAGAUGCCUCCCUGAUUUUGCCAAGGCAUGUGCCCUUGAGACACGAGAUACUGGUUUGGAUUUCAGAGCACCAGUCUCCCUUCUGCAGUGCCAAAGGAUGCUCAGAAAGAUGCUCAUCUCUUGCACAUCCCCCCCCCCCCAGGUUUCCUUUUAAUUGCCAGCUGGGCACCAGGCCAAGGCAUGCUCUCUGCUCUUCUGUCCAAAGCUCCUGGCAUUUCCCUGCCAGCCGGCGAUGGAGGAGGCCUGCUUGGGCCUUCUGGAUUACAAGACAGAGAAAUUUGCCCUCACCAGGAACAGAAAGGUGGGCCUUUUGCACCGCCUGAUCCAGCUGGGCAUCCUGGCGUACAUACUUGGAUGGGUGCUCCUGGCCCGAAAGGGCUACCAAGAAAAGGACACUGACCCCCACGUCUCUGUCAUCACCAAACUGAAAGGGGUUUCGGUGGUACGCAUCCAAGAGCUCGGAGAUCGGCUGUGGGAUGUGGCGGAUUACGUGAAACCCCCUCAGGGAGAAAAUGUAUUCUUUUUGGUGACCAAUUUCAUUGCCACGCUGAAUCAAGUGCAAGGCUUGUGCCCAGAGCAUCCUUCGAUCCCGGAUGGAAACUGCAGGAACGAUUCGGACUGUUCUGCCGGGCAGCCAGUAGUCCAUGGGAAUGGGAUCAAAACGGGAAAGUGUGUGCAUUUUAACAAUUCUCACAGCACCUGCGAAAUCUAUGCAUGGUGUCCAGUGGAAAACAAGAUCUUACCUAGGAAACCACGCUUGGCAGAAGCAGAAAAUUUCACCCUCUUUAUUAAAAACACAGUCAACUUUUCCAGGUUUAACUUCUCCAGGGCCAACACUUUAAAAACAACUGAUGACUCCUAUUUCAAGGGUUGCCAAUACAACGCUCUGGAUAGCCCUUACUGCCCCAUCUUCCGUAUUCACAACAUGGUGGAGGCUGCUGGCACAAGCUUUCAGGAGCUGGCCCUCAGGGGGGGAGCCAUCGGCAUGCGUAUCGACUGGGAUUGCAACUUAGACCAGGCUCCUUCGGCGUGCCAGCCUCGCUAUUCCUUCAAUCUCCUGGACAAGGAAUUCAACUUCAGAACGGCCUCCUAUUACCAGGACCCACCGUACCAGCCCUCCAGGAGCCUGCUGAAACUCUACGGCAUCCGCUUUGACAUUUCGGUCCACGGCCAGGCUGGGAAGUUCAGCAUCAUACCCACCGCUGUCAACCUGGGAACGGGAGCAGCAUUUCUUGGUGCUGCCACCGUCGUCUGUGAUCUUGUCCUGUUGUACCUCGAUACCAAAGCUGAAUUUUAUCGAAGUGAGAAAUACGAGGAGGCAAAGCCACCGAAAGACAAAAAGGUUAACGCGGCCACAUAGCGACACUAAACUUAGAAAGAAAGGCCUAAACUUCCAACAGACACUCAAGCGGACAAGAUCUCCACUUGCACACUUUGGAUUAGAAGGGACCUUCCUGAAAGUUGAGACCUGGAAGUCUAGCUGGCAUUUUUCUCCUACUCCUAUUGCCACCUUUCUGUGCUGGAGACAGAGGAGAGUUCCUGCCAGUCGGCGUAAGACGCAUAAGGAUAGCUGGACCAAGGAAUUGACUCCAUACCAUGUCCCUGCAAAUAGUCAAGCCCUCUCUUUUGAGCUUUCUCCCAACACAGGAUCCAAGGUGGUUUGCACAACAGGAUUAAAGCAAGAUCCAGCUAAAAACUAGAUGCUUAAGAACAAAAAACAAUUAAAGUUAGCCG